GCUUGGUCUCUGCUGCCUAACAGGGCCCUUAGGUUCAGUGCACGGUCUGAGAUUGGGCCCAGGGAAGAAACCAGAGGGCCACAAGAUGGAAGUAAGUUGAAGGUGUGCAGAGAAAGUUGCACGAGGCUUGUCUGGCCAGGUGGACGGUGGGGAGACAAGCAAGGAAGGGCACAGGAUGAAAGCCUGUGCUGCAGUUCCCUAGGGCUUUAUGCUACAGCGUGAUCCCUUUAUCUCUUCACAGACACAGAGGAAGAUAUGAUAAAGCAGAGGCAUGUCAGAGAAAACAGUCUGAGGCGGAUCUGAUAAAGAAUUUAAGCCAAGGACACCUUGCUUGCAGAUUUUGUGAUGAGGAGGAAGGCAGAUCCUAAGCUGCCCACACAGGCCACCUCUGAGAUGCUGAGAGGAACGUAUCGCAGCGACGGCCUCACCACUGCCAAGCAGCAUCCACAGAGGGCCCGACUGCAUGGAAGACGAAGACCUGGAGAAAUGCCAGUGACACGCUGUCAGCAUGUGAGGCACCGAGAGGGUUGUCAGUACCAAUUUUGUUUCCCUCGUAGAACUGGCUGCGGUUUUGGCUGGUGGUGGGGAACAAGAUCAUGAAGUGAAGUGAACUCCCACUCCCACCCACCAGAAGCCUUCAGGGACCAUCUCAAAUCUAAGUGCAGACAGCAAACACUACAGCGUGGGCCAGAAAUCCUUUGUCAGCCACACACUGAUGGCAGACUCACCCCCAAUUAGCUCAGCUUCUGGCUGCAACUAAUCCCGUAAAUACAGAGCUUCUCACGAGAUCCACCUCCUUGGAGGUCCCCAGGCACAGAACAGCCUUCUCCCCGGCUUGGGAAAUCUUUAGCUCCAAAAUCCACUACUCUCCCAUGCAGCCAACAUAGCAUUGCUCACAAACCUGUGUCCUCACUCAGAGACCCCGUUCCAUCACAUUCCAGCUGUCAUAGCCUCCCUUCUCAGCGCCGGCUGCUCUCUUUAACCCCCACUGUCAUUGCUCCUCACACAGAGUUUUUCAUCACAGCCUGAAGGCUGUAGAUAGAGAAGGGCUUGAACCGCAUUAUUCAGAUGUGGAUCUGAUUCCCAGCCUUCCCCAGG
rnacentral:lncRNA from 1 species